GAUGAACGCUGGCGGCGUGCCUAAUACAUGCAAGUCGAGCGAACAGAUGAGGAGCUUGCUCCUCUGACGUUAGCGGCGGACGGGUGAGUAACACGUGGGUAACCUACCUAUAAGACUGGGAUAACUUCGGGAAACCGGAGCUAAUACCGGAUAAUAUAUUGAACCGCAUGGUUCAAUAGUGAAAGACGGUUUUGCUGUCACUUAUAGAUGGAUCCGCGCCGCAUUAGCUAGUUGGUAAGGUAACGGCUUACCAAGGCAACGAUGCGUAGCCGACCUGAGAGGGUGAUCGGCCACACUGGAACUGAGACACGGUCCAGACUCCUACGGGAGGCAGCAGUAGGGAAUCUUCCGCAAUGGGCGAAAGCCUGACGGAGCAACGCCGCGUGAGUGAUGAAGGUCUUCGGAUCGUAAAACUCUGUUAUUAGGGAAGAACAAAUGUGUAAGUAACUAUGCACGUCUUGACGGUACCUAAUCAGAAAGCCACGGCUAACUACGUG
rnacentral:rRNA from 1 species